ACGACGACGACGCAGCUGGCUGGCUGGCUGGCUGCAGAGCGCAGCUAGCCUCCGCUCUCUCGCUGUGAUCUGCAGAUGAUACAGUUACUAAUUAAUGUGCAGGCACAUUACGUCAGUCAUCCUACGCAUUGAACCCAUUGUUAAUUGCGGCGAGCCAGCGAGUGAGCUGGAGCGGUGGUCGUUUGGAGCAUCAAACAAUGUGCCGCAGUGUGCAUGAGAGAGAAGAUACUAGCGAGGGAGAGAGAUGGUGCCACUGCUUUGGCUCUGUCCGGAUUUUUAUAAUUUAGGCCUUUCUUAAAAUAUAUUUUAGAAAUAGACCUUCUGAGAAACCUGUCGCAG
rnacentral:sRNA from 1 species